rnacentral:lncRNA from 1 species
UUCUUCCCACCCCGGGGAAGGUGCAGAGCCCAUGACAAGCAGCCUGGUGGCGGUGCUCCCCCUGGUCCUCAUUAACUCAGUUCCUGUAAGUUCCUUUGCACCAGGACUCGGGCUGAAGGAGCAGCCCCUAAAUAUGACAUCCGGCAACAGGCCUACUGAUCCAUCAACAUUGCUCUGCCCCAUCCUAACCAUGGAAAGCGGACAUCCACUUCCGCACAGGAAGAUCACAGAUGCAAAAGCCCUUCCUGAGAAACUGCAAUCAUGA